rnacentral:rRNA from 1 species
CCGACGGUGAGGGGUGAAAGCUGGGGGAGCAAACCGGAUUAGAUACCCGGGUAGUCCCAGCCGUAAACGAUGUGCGUUAGGUGUAUCGGUGACCACGAGUCACCGAGGUGCCGAAGAGAAAUUGUGAAACGUACCGCCUGGGAAGUACGGUCGCAAGGCUGAAACUUAAAGGAAUUGGCGGGGGAGCACCACAACAGGUGGAGCCUGCGGUUUAAUCGGACUCAACGCCGGGAAACUCACCAGAUAAGACAGCUGAAUGAUAGUCGGGCUGAAGACUCUACUUGACUAGCUGAGAGGAGGUGCAUGGCCGUCGUCAGUUCGUACUGUGAGGCAUCCUGUUAAGUCAGGCAACGAGCGAGACCCACGCCAACAGUUGCU